rnacentral:rRNA from 1 species
GUUAUAUGGUCAAGCGAAUAAGCGCACACGGUGGAUGCCUUGGCGGUCAGAGGCGAUGAAGGACGUGGCAGCCUGCGAAAAGUAUCGGGGAGCUGGCAACAAGCUUUGAUCCGGUAAUGUCCGAAUGGGGAAACCCACCCGCUUGCGGGUAUCCUGCAGUGAAUACAUAGCUGCUGGAAGCGAACCUGGUGAACUGAAAUAUCUAAGUAACCAGAGGAAAAGAAAUCAACCGAGAUUCCGUAAGUAGCGACGAGCGAACGCGGACUAGCCCUUAAGCUGAUUUGGUUCUAGGAAAACGCUCUGGAAAGAGCGGCCAUAGAAGGUGAUAGCCCUGUAUCUGAAAGGGCCAUUUCAGUGAAGACGAGUAGGGCGGGGCACGUGAAACCCUGUCUGAACAUGGGGGGACCAUCCUCCAAGGCUAAAUACUACUGACCGACCGAUAGUGAACCAGUACCGUGAGGGAAAGGCGAAAAGAACCCCGGAGAGGGGAGUGAAAUAGAACCUGAAACCGUGUGCGUACAAGCAGUAGGAGCUCCGCAAGGAGUGACUGCGUACCUUUUGUAUAAUGGGUCAGCGACUUACUGUUCGUGGCAAGCUUAACCGUAUAGGGGAGGCGAAGGGAAACCGAGUCUGAUAAGGGCGCAUAGUCGCGGGCAGUAGACCCGAAACCGGGUGAUCUAGUCAUGCCCAGGGUGAAGGUGCGGUAACACGCACUGGAGGCCCGAACCCACUCCCGUUGCAAAGGUAGGGGAUGAGGUGUGAUUAGGAGUGAAAAGCUAAUCGAACCCGGAGAUAGCUGGUUCUCCUCGAAAGCUAUUUAGGUAGCGCCUCAUAUGUAUCCUCUCGGGGGUAGAGCACUGUUAUGGCUAGGGGGUCAUCGCGACUUACCAAACCAUUGCAAACUCCGAAUACCGAGACGGACUGUAUGGGAGACACACGGCGGGUGCUAACGUCCGUCGUGAAAAGGGAAACAACCCAGACCCACAGCUAAGGUCCCAAAUUCAGUGCUAAGUGGAAAACCAUGUGGAAAGGCACAGACAGCCAGGAGGUUGGCUUAGAAGCAGCCACCCUUUAAAGAAAGCGUAAUAGCUCACUGGUCGAGUCGGUCUGCGGGGAAGAUUUAACGGGGCUAAGCACUGAACCGAAGCUUGGGGUGCAUACUUUGUAUGCGCGGUAGAGGAGCGUUCCGUAAGCCUGCGAAGGUGGAUUGAGAAGUCCGCUGGAGGUAUCGGAAGUGCGAAUGCUGACAUGAGUAACGAUAAUGCGGGUGAAAAACCCGCACGCCGAAAGCCCAAGGUUUCCUUGCGCAACGUUAAUCGGCGCAGGGUGAGUCGGCCCCUAAGGCGAGGACGAAAGUCGUAGUCGAUGGGAAGCAGGUUAAUAUUCCUGCACCUCGCGUAAGUGCGAUGGAGGGACGGAGAAGGUUAGGUGUACCAGGCGUUGGUUGUCCUGGGGAAAGGCGGUAGGUUUGGAUCUUUGGCAAAUCCGGGAUCCUCUAAGACCGAGCACCGAGACGAGCCUUUAUGGCGAAGUCACUGAUACCACGCUUCCAGGAAAAGCUCCUAAGCUUCAGCUUACGCAGACCGUACCGUAAACCGACACAGGUGGGUAGGAUGAGAAUUCUCAGGCGCUUGAGAGAACUCGGGUGAAGGAACUAGGCAACAUGGCACCGUAACUUCGGGAGAAGGUGCACCCUUUUUGGUGGCUCGUGCGAGCUAUAGCUGAAGAGGGUCGCAGUAACCAGGCCGCUGCGACUGUUUAUCAAAAACACAGCACUCUGCAAACACGAAAGUGGACGUAUAGGGUGUGACGCCUGCCCGGUGCUGGAAGGUUAAUUGAUGGGGUCAGCCGCAAGGCGAAGCUCUUGAUCGAAGCCCCAGUAAACGGCGGCCGUAACUAUAACGGUCCUAAGGUAGCGAAAUUCCUUGUCGGGUAAGUUCCGACCUGCACGAAUGGCGUAACGACAGCGGCGCUGUCUCCACCCGAGACUCAGUGAAAUUGAAAUCGCUGUGAAGAUGCAGCGUUCCCGUGGCAAGACGGAAAGACCCCGUGAACCUUUACUAUAGCUUUACACUGAACGUUGAGUUCGUCUGUGUAGGAUAGGUGGGAGGCUAUGAAACUGUGGCGCUAGCUGCAGUGGAGCCAUCCUUGAAAUACCACCCUGUCGUGCUUGACGUUCUAACCUGGGCCCAUUAUCUGGGUCGGGGACCGUGUAUGGUGGGUAGUUUGACUGGGGCGGUCUCCUCCUAAAGAGUAACGGAGGAGCUCGAAGGUACGCUCAGCGCGGUCGGACAUCGCGCACUGUGUGCAAAGGCAUAAGCGUGCUUGACUGCAAGAUCGACGGAUCAAGCAGGUAGGAAACUAGGACUUAGUGAUCCGGUGGUUCUGUAUGGAAGGGCCAUCGCUCAACGGAUAAAAGGUACUCCGGGGAUAACAGGCUGAUACCGCCCAAGAGUUCAUAUCGACGGCGGUGUUUGGCACCUCGAUGUCGGCUCAUCACAUCCUGGGGCUGUAGUCGGUCCCAAGGGUAUGGCUGUUCGCCAUUUAAAGUGGUACGCGAGCUGGGUUCAGAACGUCGUGAGACAGUUCGGUCCCUAUCUGCCAUGGGCGUUGGAGAUUUGAGAGGGGCUGCUCCUAGUACGAGAGGACCGGAGUGGACGAACCUCUGGUGUUCCGGUUGUCACGCCAGUGGCAUUGCCGGGUAGCUAUGUUCGGAAGCGAUAACCGCUGAAAGCAUCUAAGCGGGAAGCGCGCCUCAAGAUGAGAUCUCCCGGGGCACAAGCCCCCUGAAGGAACCAUGUAGACUACGUGGUUGAUAGGUCAGGUGUGUAAGUACAGCAAUGUAUUGAGCUAACUGAUACUAAUGAUCCGUGCGGCUUGACCAUAUAACCU